UACGUAGGGGGCAAGCGUUGUCCGGAAUUAUUGGGCGUAAAGAGCGCGUGUAGGCGGCCCGGUAAGUCCGCUGUGAAAGUCGGGGGCUCAACCCUCGAAUGCCGGUGGAUACUGUCGGGCUCGAGUGCGGAAGAGGCGAGUGGAAUUCCUGGUGUAGCGGUGAAAUGCGCAGAUAUCAGGAGGAACACCGAGUUGCGAAGGCAGC
rnacentral:rRNA from 1 species